UACGUAGGGUGCAAGCGUUAAUCGGAAUUACUGGGCUUAAAGCGUACGCAGGCGGCUAUGUAAGACAGGUGUGAAAUCCCCGGGCCUAACCUGGGAACUGCAUUUGUGACUGCAUAGCUAGAGUCCGUCAGAGGGGGGUGGAAUUCCACGUGUAGCAGUGAAAUGCGUAGAGAUGUGGAGGAACACCGAUGGCGAAGGCGGCAUCCUGGACCGGCAUUGACGCUGAGGAGCGAAAGCCAGGGGAGCAAACGGG
rnacentral:rRNA from 1 species